CACGUAGGGUGCGAGCGUUGUCCGGAAUUAUUGGGCGUAAAGAGCUCGUAGGCGGUGUGUCGCGUCGGCUGUGAAAACCUGCAGCUUAACUGUGGGCUUGCGGUCGAUACGGGCAUCACUGGAGUUCGGCAGGGGAGACUGGAAUUCCUGGUGUAGCGGUGAAAUGCGCAGAUAUCAGGAGGAACACCGGUGGCGAAGGCGGGUCUCUGGGCCGAUACUGACGCUGAGGAGCGAAAGCGUGGGGAGCAAACAGG
rnacentral:rRNA from 1 species